AUUAGGGUUCGAUUCCGGAGAGGGAGCCUGAGAAACGGCUACCACAUCUAAGGAAGGCAGCAGGCGCGCAAAUUACCCAAUCCUAAUACAGGGAGGUAGUGACAAGAAAUAACAAUACAGGACCUUUCGGUUUUGUAAUUGGAAUGAGUUAAGUAUAAACCCCUUUACAAGUAUCAAUUGGAGGGCAAGUCUGGUGCCAGCAGCCGCGGUAAUUCCAGCUCCAAUAGCGUAUAUUAAAGUUGUUGCAGUUAAAAAGCUCGUAGUUGGAUUUCUGUUAAUUACUUUAUAUAAUCUGCACUUUCGUGUAGUUAUAUAGUAUUAGCAUAAUUCAUAUUACUAUUUUAGUAUAUGAAAUUUUACUUUGAGAAAAUUAGAGUGCUUAAAGCAGGCUUUUGCCUUGAAUACUUCAGCAUGGAAUAAUAAUUAAAGAUUUUUAUCUUUCUUAUUGGUUCUAAGAUAAAAAUAAUGAUUAAUA
rnacentral:rRNA from 1 species